CAUUUUAUACAAUGGAGAGUUUGAUCCUGGCUCAGGAUGAACGCUAGCGGCAGGCUUAACACAUGCAAGUCGAGGGGCAGCAUAAUGGAUAGCAAUAUCUAU
rnacentral:rRNA from 1 species